rnacentral:rRNA from 1 species
AACGAACGCUGGCGGCAGGCCUAACACAUGCAAGUCGAACGCCGUAGCGAUACGGAGUGGCAGACGGGUGAGUAACGCGUGGGAACAUACCCCUCGGUUCGGAAUAACUCAGGGAAACUUGAGCUAAUACCGGAUAAGUCCGAGGUUUUAAUCGACCUUGGAGAAAGAUUUAUCGCCGGAGGAUUAGCCCGCGUCUGAUUAGCUUGUUGGUGAGGUAAUGGCUCACCAAGGCGACGANCAGUAGCUGGUCUGAGAGGAUGAUCAGCCACAUUGGGACUGAGACACGGCCCAAACUCCUACGGGAGGCAGCAGUGGGGAAUAUUGGACAAUGGGCGAAAGCCUGAUCCAGCCAUGCCGCGUGAGUGAUGAAGGCC